ensembl:lncRNA Fendrr FOXF1 adjacent non-coding developmental regulatory RNA
GGGAUCCGGAGAGUGGCUUAAGGUCGUGCAGUGCCACGAAUCGCACAGGUUCCCUAGCAGGCGGCUCCGUGCACUCAUUCAUGAAGGAGCGCACACGCGUGCAUUAACACGCGCCCAGAGCGCACACACAACGAUGCCCCCAAGCGAAUCCGCAAAUCACCAACUCAGACGCUCGGGCUUGCACCCAGUGCGCGCCCCACUCACUCUCCCUAGGGUCCCCCGGGAGCUGCCACUCCCAGAUCUGAACAUAGCAAAGUCUCCUCAGAGCCCCCUCCCCCAACGCUUGACUCUGAAAUCCGCUUAGUUGGCCCCGCGGCCCCGUGUCCCCUUUUACAAGCGCAGGUUCUGAUUUCCUGAGAGAUGGCAAAGUCCCGGGCAGGAAGUUUACAAGGCUCAACGUAAACACGUUCCGGGGGAUCCUUUAAUAAUAAGAGUAGAGAAGCCCGCGGGCGCGGGGGGAGUUGGCCUGAUGCCCCUAUGGGCUCGGCCUGCCGCCGCCGCGGGGCCUCCGAUGCUGCGCGCCAGGCCGGGUUCCGGAAAGCGGGUGGCGCAGGCGGGGAGCGCGGUAGGGAGCGGCCCUGGCUGCGGGGUCGCGGCCGUGGAGAGGUGGUGCGGGGCGCAGGACCGCUGAAGAUCCCAGCUGGACUCUGCGCGCCCGAAACCAGGGUACAGUGAGUGUUGCCUGAAUGCACAUCACUAUUGAGCCAUCCAAGGGGCGUGGGCAGCCUACCAGCAGCCAUCUAUACCUUUGGAGAAGCUCAGCCCUCUUCUCUGGAAGCAUCCAGUUGUCAGUAGAUCUUCACCCACGGAUGGGACUUUAUGAGCCCUCCUCACUCCCCACUCCUGUCCAUGCUGGAUAUUGAUUGGCUCGAUCGAUCGUGUGAACAUCACCACAGCUGCCGCCUGUGACCUGAUCCACAGCUUUUGACCCUAUGAAGCAGACCUCAGGUCCCAUCAGAAAACAGUUGCUUUCUGAAACCGCCAUGCCUCUCUCUUUUUUUUUUUUUUUUUUUUUGGUUCUUUUUUUCGGAGCUGGGGACCGAACCCAGGGCCUUGCGCUUCCUACCUACUACCUUGAGAUCCUCUACAAAGCUCCCCUGCAGCCAGAGAACCAGCUGCACAUUCAGCGGCCGUGUGACAGAUGAAAAUGUCCUACUCCCACACCGUGGCCUGUCCUGGUGUCAGCCUCUUCGUGCUCAGAAAGAAUGAGGCACCUACAACUGCUGGCCCAGGGUGGGAUUUGAACAGCUCCAGUUAUGUAACGUGUCUAUCACUGAGAUGUGUACUGAGCAUCAACUUGAUGGGACUCAGACUCACUAAGGAAACAAGCCCCUGUCUGGAAACUUCUAGAUCGUGUUCACUAAAGUGGGAGGAGCCACCCUGUGUGUUGGCAGUACCAUCUCGUCAUGGUCUGGGGUCCUGGACCUAAUGAAACGGAGCAAGCAGGCUGAGGACCAGCAGUCACCACUCUCUGCUUCCUGACUGUGGAUGCCAUGGGACCAGCUGUCUCAUGUUCCUGCCGCCAUGCCUCCCCGCCAUGAUGGACUGUAUCCCCUCACACUGUGAGCCAAUGUGAACCCUUCCUUCUUUAAGGUGUUUUAGUCAGGUGUGUUAUAGCAGUGAGAUAACAACAAAUACACUGCAGACACGCACGUGCACGGUGUGCAGGGCUGGUGUGGACUACACACUCCCCACUUGUCUAGCUAAGCUCUCGGCAUCUCCUUCAGCCCCUUUUCUAGAAUGAUCCGCUUCUAUUCCUCUGCACCCUCCUUUGGCUCAUAAAAUAAAGUGCAGAUUCCAUCACUGGACAUAAUUAUCACCCAUCCCAAGUUGGUACAUCUGUAUCCUGUCACAACUGGACUCUGCCCUUACCCCUAGAUCAUGGAGCUCCAUUUCUGCCCAUUUGGAAGCAGCUUGCUCCCUCCUUUGCAGCCCGGAUGGGCGUAUGUAGCUCUUCGAGCACAGCUGGGGAGAAGCGAGAACUGGAAAGCACCAUACGCAAGUCUGAACACCAGUGUCAGGGUCCAUGCUGCAGAUUCGAAAAGGUCUGAGGCAAAGGGAAACACCUCUGGGAGCCUGAGUCAAGCACUGCACAGGGUGGGCGAGCCUGUGUGAGCAGAGCCUGGUGCUUUGGGUCUUUCUAGCACGGGGCUCUGUCCUGUGCAGCCCUGGCUUCCCUUCACAGCAAGCGGAGGGUAAGAAGAGCAGCGAGUUUCUGGCAGAGGAAAAAACAUGGAACGCCCAACCACAGAAUUCCCAAAAACAUUGCUAAGCAUUAAUUUCGCUAACAUGUUAGAUGGCACGCAGGUCUCCGCAGGCUCAUUCCUGGGCUAGACACAGUUCCCAAAAGCCAUCUGAUUCCACAUCCCCCCUGGCCAUGUGUGGAUAAUGAGCAAAGCCAUCUGGGCUGGCCCUGGCCUUCCAGCCACUGGGGCCAGGCCUUCCCCAGCUCUGGCCCAGGCCUGCCCAUGGGAUACCUUAGGCACCCUCCUCCGCCUGUCUUCCUGCCCUUGGUAAAGACCAGGGCAAAUAUGCUCAGAGGGGUUCUCGAGCCCCAGUCCCACAGGCCCAAAGUGGCUCCGCCUCCCAACCAUGCAGUGUCUCAUGGGGGACAGACUAAAGGAAGAGGCUGCUGGAGUAAUGUCUCUUAGGUCUUGACUCACAAACAUCAUUUCCAUGGUUUUCUUUGAAAGACACACACACACACACAACCAAACCGAUUUUAAUUAAAGAUCUUGUCUUGUGGUCAGGCGGCCACAAAUGAGGGCAGAGUAGCUUUCAUGUGAGGAGCACACACAGGACUGAGCCUGUUUCCCAUAAAAGGGCACCCCCCCACCCCAAAUAAGAAAAUAGUUUGUUCUGCACAGUUCAGGAAUGCUAGGCAAAGCUGUCUUUUGCAAAGUCUACAGUUGAGGGUCUCCCCACCACAGCCUCUGUGGAUGUUGGAGUAACUGGGGCAUUUGUCAACCCCCGGUGCCUGCUGGGAUCAUCCACACAGAGACUAGAUGCUCAGUCCUGACUGUGACACACACACACACACACACACACACACACACACACACACACACCAGCCGAAAACCACGUUAGCACACCCAGGAGCACCCGGAAGCUCCCAGGCUUUCUGUAGACUGCUGAGAUGUACGUUCCAGCCUUUGUUUAUAAGAAUUGGAUGGUGUGUGUGUGUGUGUGUGUGUGUGUGUGUGUGUGUGUGUAUGUGUGUGUUGUGGUUGGAGAUGGCUCAGAGGUUAAGAGCACUAGAUGCUCUUGUAGAUGCCUGGAUCGGAUUCCCAACACCCACAGGGUCCCGUACAACCAUCUGUAACUCCAAUUCAAGGGGCAAAUAAUGCCCUCUUGUGGUCUCCAUAGGCACCCGGCAGGCACGUGGUGUCCAUGCAUGCACACAGGCAAAACACCCGUGCACAUAAAGAAGCACGACUUUAAAUUUGAUUACUGUGUAUGCAUGAUGCGUGCCAAGGUCAGAGGACAACUUGCGGGAAUUGGUUUCUGCCACCGAUUAGCCUUGCCCAGCCCUGUCCCUAUUUUUUAUUGUGAGACACUUUCAGUAGUUUCCCUGGGUUAUCCAGAGAACCGGUGGGGACCUGAGGAGAGAGGAGAUUGGACCAUUGGCUGAGGAACAUAUGAAUCCAGGGUCCAGGAUUCAGGGACUAGCCCAUGGUCUGGGCUGGGCUGAGAACCUGAGUGGGGGUGUGCUGAGUACUGUGUGAUAAGUACUGUACAAUGAGCACCACAUGUGAGUACUGUGUGCUGAGCACUGUGCAUUGAGUACUAUGUGAAAAAGUACUGUACAGUGAGCACCAUAUUGUGAGCACCAUGAUGAGCACUGUGCAAUGAGUACUACAUGAUAAGUACUAUAUAAAGAGCACCACACUGGGCACUGUGUGAUAAGCAAUGUGGACUGGCACUGUGAUAAGUACUGUAGAGUGAGCACCGUGUGCUGAGCACUGUGCAUUGAGUACUCUGUGAUAAGUACUAUAUAAAGAGCACCACACUGGGCACUGUGUGAUAAGCAAUGUGGACUGGCACUGUGAUAAGUACUGUAGAGUGAGCACCGUGUGCUGAGCACUGUGCAUUGAGUACUCUGUGAUAAGUACUGUACAGUGAGUACCGCACAUGAGUACUGUGUGAUGAGCACUAUGCAGUGAGCACUGUGUGAUGAGCACUAUGCAGUGAGCACUGUGGAAUGAGUCCACCGAGGGCACUGUACACCCCAGGUUGGAGCCGUGAUCUGGACUUUACCAGUCUUCACACUCAGAAGUUGUCUUCUCUGUCCUGUGUAGAAUGCCACACACUCUGUCAGAGGCUCACCUUUCUUUCCCUUUGACAUGGGACAAGUGUCUCAGGUCUGUUUCAUAGAGCAGAGAAGGAACCUCCAGGUCCCUAGUAGCCCAGAGCUUCCCACAGGGCAGCACCCACAGCAGCACCCUCUCCAUGUAGCCAGAGCCUCCGGCACACACUGUGGUUUCUGGGGGAUUGCAGUGGUCUCCAGGAAAAGAGCAAACAGGAGCUUUGAGAACGAAGACUCCUCUCUGUUUCAUACCGAGACGCCAGGGCGGUGGCCCUCUCCUGUGUGACACUUCGAUCAUACCCUCUGCCUUCACACACCUUUGUUCAAGAUGGCUGCUUCAGCUCCACCUGUCGCCUCUAUGUUUCCAGUCAGCAGGAAAGAGGACCAUCUUGAAGGAAGGGCAGGGACUACAGUUAGUUGUCUGCUGUGUUUAGGGGAUAAGACGACUAAAUUCUUACCUUAAUCUUAUUAGCUGUAAUGCGGUCACAUGACCUCAGCUACCAGCAAUGGAGGCUGGGAAGCUUGGCUUGAUUUCUGGGUCUGUAUACCUGGGUCCAGGGGCUGUUCCUGUGUGUCCCUAGUAUUCACGGCACAGCCAGGACCGUAGGAGGGUUUCUGCCACUGGACAAAUGUGUGCACGGUGUAGCAGAGGGACUAAUGUAGGACUAACUGGGUCCAGUCCCAUGAUGUGGGACUGGUUGGGCGGCAACUUGGAGUCCAUAUUUUACCAUGGCAAGGGUGAGGGUGUGAAAUCUACAGAGAUAGCUUGCCCUCCCUAGAAGCCAGGAGCCCUCUCCUUUUGCCUGGGUCAUUUCAUGAUCCUACCCCUCUAACACCAGGCUAGCCCUUGCAGAGAACGUCCUGGGUAACCCUGGUCCAUAGUCUUCAUUCAUUGACUACAGUCACUGGGACCUGGUUGGCUGCAGACAGCUGUGAGGAAAGGUCAUCUUUUAUAAUUUGAUUAGCAAUGGAUCCCUUAAACACUGGCAGAUGGGAGUCCAUUCACUUGUUUGGGGGGGUGAGAAGAAAAGGGGGCCUCCAUAUCCUUGUGGGGGACAGACAUAUUCCUGAACACUCACCCAGACCAAGAACUGAGGAGGGGGUCAGGAACCACCCACACAGCACCCCCAGACGGCAUUGCAGCUGCGGCUCCUUAAGUCCUGCUUGGGGCAAAGGACUCACAUCGCCUUCUAUCCUGGCAAAAAUGUGACAAAGGGCUCUGUCUUCCCCCUCUGUCCUCAGCAGAGGUAGAGAGGAGAAAUCUGAGCCCUAGGAAGGUCUUCGAAGCUCUGCUGUCCCACUUGUAGUUUGAUAGGAGAAAUUAAGGCCCAGAUGGUGGAGUCCCUCAGAGGCCCAGGAGAACGGGGGCUACACUACACCACAUCGGAUUCCUGGAAGGCUCGCCCAGAACGAGCACACAGGUCUCAGGAGUUCACUGUCCUGUCGCCAGGCCCUUCGGUUCCCAGCUUUGGUAGUUCUGCCACCAUCUGUAGAGAGAAGGCCCCCGACUCGGGGCCCAUCUUUAUUUCCUCACGGGAUGGGGCCGCUGUGGUGCCUGUGGCUUCUUAGAAAAGGUGCCCCGUGAGCCAGCGUCCCCACCCUUGGCACACUGUCUGCUCUGGUCCGGGGCCUCUCCAGCCCUGGAUGUCUGAGGCUCUGUUUCCACCCAUGACAGUGCCCUGGGGCUCUCUCUGCAGCUUACUUCAGCAUUGAGUUACCGAGGAACCUCUGCCAGGAACAGAAACUUCGAGGCUCAAAGAACUGGGUGACCUCAAGGCAUUCAGAGACAGCUGGACAGAGGACAUUCACAAGCCUCAGGUCCAGUUAGGGUGGAUAUCUGGAAACGGGCUGACUUCUUCCCCAUGUCUGCAUCCCAAGAACGUCGCUCUGAAACUCCGAGGCCAGGGAUGUGGCUCACUUGAUAGGGUGAGUGCUCGGCACACAAGUCCUGGGGCCCACCCAGGGCAUAAACCAGAUAUGACGGUGCAUGUCAGCAAUCCCGUGGGAGGUAGAGGCAGAAGGAGCAUCAAUUUGAGGAAAUCCUGGGCUACCUGGCAAACUCGGGGCUAGCCUGAGCUAUACCAGACCCUUUUCGUAAUAAAACCCCAACUCCAAUGAAAAGCCUGCUCCGAGACUCUGCAUCUUACCCUCAUUUCCUCCUCAAGAAUGGAGGCUACCCUAGCCACCUUUGCCUGCCUUUCCUUUGGGGGUUGGUGGGCUACCUGGAGAGCCUGCCGUGCAGCCGAGGGAAGGGGUUCACAAGCUUGGUCCUUGCUCACCGUCUCUUCUGCCUGCCUAGGCUGAUAACGGCUGCAUUUAGACAUAAGUGACACAUUUUCCUUACAUCUGCUCCAAAUUUUCGUCUCAGAAAUUAGAGUGCUCGGUUCCACGGUAUUACGCGGCACUCCACCGGCCUGGGAGUGCAGAGCUGAUUGGACGUCCCACCCAAAGGAGAGGCGGUUGGUUCAAGCUCUUUCCAGGAAAUUGAGUGGAACACCCAAACUGACAUCCAAUAUUAAAUAUUAUAUUUGUGGAGUUGUUCAGGAGAGUUCCCUGGCACCAGACAUCUGGGAGAGAAACUUGUAAGUGGGGAAACUGAAUGCCUCGUUGGAAUGAGGCUCAUCAGCGCUGGGAAAUUAAAUCAUCACUGUACACGGGGCAGGGCGGGCUACGUAGAAAGGUAGGGCUAUUAAAAUAUGAUUAGCCCAACUGUAUUUUGUCUCAAAAAAUGUCAUACACCAUUAAAGUUGAAAAGACUUUGAUGCCAGUACCCCUGGCAAGGACUGUGCCCCGUCAGCAAAAUGGACCCCAGAACAUUCUCUUGCAAAUAGGCAGGCUCACCAAGCAGGGCAGGACCCAGAAAACCAUAGCUGCACCCCCAAAUCCAAGCCCCGCCGUUCACGAGUCUCAAGUGUUCCAUGCAUAGGCCAGGCAGAUUCAGGAAGUAGGGCACAGGGCUGGGCCACCUGCAAGGGUGCAGCUUGGUGGCAGAGAACUUUCCCAGCAUGGGUGAGUCCCUGAGUUCUGUCUCCAGCAACUCAAAACAAAUGUGUUUCUGAAAUCUGAAUGAUCAAGAUUAAUGGUAUUUUAGAGUAGGAACAAAAACAAAAAUGCUAAACCAUUAUUUGCUGUGAUUGGCUAGCCUGUUUUGUUUUGUUUUGUUUUUAUAAAUAAAGUUUUAUUAGGCUAAGGGCCAGGAUCAGGGCAGGGCUGUCUAGGAAGGGUUUUAUAAAGUCAGAAUCCUAUUUGGUACUUUAAAAAAAUUUUGGUAUUUUACUUGUUAGGGAGUUUUACAGUUUUGAUUUAUCUUUUUUUGAGGCAGGGUCUCCUGUAGCACAGGCAGGACAUGAGAUUACUAUGUGGCCAAGAAUGAGCAUGACCUUGAAUGGCUUCUUCUACUUCCUCCUUCCGAAUGCUGGAAUUAUAGGCAUUCGCAACCACUCUAAUGGUGCUGGGAAUGGAACCUGAGGGGGCCAUGUUUUCUGGGCAAACCUUACACCCACUAAGCCCUAG